rnacentral:tRNA from 7 species
GCCGGAAUAGCUCAGUUGGUAGAGCAGAGGACUGAAAAUCCUCGUGUCACCAGUUCAAAUACUGGCCGUCGUUUU